CACGUAGGGGACGAGCGUUGUCCGGAAUCAUUGGGCGUAAAGCGCGCGUAGGCGGCCCGGUAAGUCGGAUGUGAAAUCCCGGGGCUCAACCCCGGGCCUGCAUCCGAUACUCCCGGGCUGGAGGCAGGUAGGGGAGAUCGGAAUUCCUGGUGUAGCGGUGAAAUGCGCAGAUAUCAGGAGGAACACCGGUGGCGAAGGCGGAUCUCUGGGCCUUGCCUGACGCUGAGGAGCGAAAGUGUGGGGAGCGAACAGG
rnacentral:rRNA from 1 species